CAGCACCUCAAGUGGUCAGGAUGAUUAUUGGGCCUAAAGCAUCCGUAGCCGGCUCUGUAAGUUUUCGGUUAAAUCUGUACGCUCAACGUACAGGCUGCCGGGAAUACUGCAGCGCUAGGGAGUGGGAGAGGUAGACGGUACUCGGUAGGAAGGGGUAAAAUCCUUUGAGCUAUUGAUGACCACCUGUGGCGAAGGCGGUCUACCAGAACACGUCCGACGGUGAGGGAUGAAAGCUGGGGGAGCAAACCGGAUUAGAGACCCGAGUAGUCC
rnacentral:rRNA from 1 species